rnacentral:rRNA from 1 species
AAAUUGAAGAGUUUGAUCAUGGCUCAGAUUGAACGCUGGCGGCAGGCCUAACACAUGCAAGUCGAACGGUAACAGGAAACAGCUUGCUGUUUCGCUGACGAGUGGCGGACGGGUGAGUAAUGUCUGGGAAACUGCCCGAUGGAGGGGGAUAACUACUGGAAACGGUAGCUAAUACCGCAUAACGUCGCAAGACCAAAGAGGGGGACCUUCGGGCCUCUUGCUAUCGGAUGUGCCCAGAUGGGAUUAGCUAGUAGGUGGGGUAACGGCUCACCUAGGCGACGAUCCCUAGCUGGUCUGAGAGGAUGACCAGCCACACUGGAACUGAGACACGGUCCAGACUCCUACGGGAGGCAGCAGUGGGGAAUAUUGCACAAUGGGCGCAAGCCUGAUGCAGCCAUGCCGCGUGUAUGAAGAAGGCCUUCGGGUUGUAAAGUACUUUCAGCGGGGAGGAAGGGAGUAAAGUUAAUACCUUUACUCAUUGACGUUACCCGCAGAAGAAGCACCGGCUAACUCCGUGCCAGCAGCCGCGGUAAUACGGAGGGUGCAAGCGUUAAUCGGAAUUACUGGGCGUAAAGCGCACGCAGGCGGUUUGUUAAGUCAGAUGUGAAA